GAGAACGCAGAGGGAGGGAGGCAGGAAGAGACCAAACCCCCGCUUUACUGCGCUGAAAGCUUCUGAAUUUCAAGCACAAAGUAGAAGGAUCCCCACACGGCAAUGAGCGUCUUUCUUCGGGCUGCGUGUGCACAGCGUAGACAAUGAAAAUCUCCAUCCCCCUCCCCCAUCCCCGCUAGGCUACAAGACUUUUGUUGUCGUCCCUUCUCAACGAUGGAAGAUUUGCAAAAUCAAAUAUAUAGAGAUGUGCAUAUAUUUUGUAACCAACCAACCAAACGUGCUGAGAUGUGGAUUACCCAAACGCGCACAGGCUGGGCGCCUUCUCGGGUCUCUGCGCUAGACCGGCUCUAGGCGCCCUCUCCAGCCGCAGCUGGGCUCUACACCGCCCCGGAGCCGCUGUGGCGCAAGAUCCUCCCUCCCUCGGAUGCUGGAGCCGGAUCGGGCCUGUCCCUCGGGCCGACCUCGCCGCAGGGGAAGCCGCGAAAAGAGCCACUGAACCCACCGCCUCCUGCCUGCAGUGCAGAGGGCACCACCCGUAGAGGGGCUGGGAACAAAGGAGAGGAGCUAAGAGGAUUCACCAAAGUAGCCGCGCCGCUUUCGCCUGGUGCUGUCCGCGGUGCUGACCACAGCCCUCCUCUCCGUAAUCUCACCAAAAAGCAAUACGACCGUCCCGCACCCACCUAAAAGAGUAACAGGGACUAGGUAAUUUGCGAAAGAACAAUUAAAAUUAUGGAAGUGCCGAAUAUAGCGAAACCUAAUAUUUUACCGGAAUAGUCCACUCUAGCUGUUGCCAUAUUUGGCUUGUACUUUUCGGUUUUCGUGCAGUUAUACACAUAGAGUUAUUGUGUGUAUAUUGGAAAACAAUUUCAGUUUCUUUAGGCUGAAACCCGAAUCUAAGCAGUGGGCAUCAAGAACUUGCAAGAAAGAGAAUGAGAAGAAGCUUCUAUUUUGUUUUUCUUAAGUCAUCUUCCUCAAAACAUGCAAACAAACGUAAGGUCUUCAGCUAUGCUCCUUAACAGUGCCGGUGUAGUCCCCAAAGGGACUCGCGAUGGACGCCAGUGUGGGCUUCCAGACUUCCCAGAAGUGAUGGGGACCAACUAGGGAAGACGAAGUAGAAGCCCUCCCACCCUGCAGCCUCGGGCCAAGCUAGCAUCAGGGCAGCUUUCCUAGGCGAUGCACAACUCAGAGCUCUGCAGACCGCUCCAGUGCACCGAACUUGCUUUGCGCUUCCCGGCCGGCGGGAGGCACUGCAGGGGCAGCAGGCCUGAAACCCGCACUGCGGAAAAAACACCACAGCGGCUUCAUCCUCCUAGCUCCAAGAGACGGAAAACGUCAGGGUGGUUUACUAAAUCUCAGGCAGUGAAGAUUCGCUUUACGAAUCGAGGGUCAAAUGGGUCAGUAUUAAUAUAUUCAAUAAAUCUGUAUAUCUCAUCAUAUUUCAUCGUGCUGACCUGGAUAUUGAAUGCAUUAAAUAUAAAUAAUAAAAAUUUAAAUGCCCUGAAUAAUGAAUCAAAGAGACAAGAGAAAGAGAAACAAAAAUCAACCAAUUUCUAACCAGACUGGGGUCCCGAAAGAAAUUACUACAUUUGCUUGAAUUUGUUUAAAAAUUCACAAACAUAAACAAUGUCAAAAUUAGGAAUGGAUAAAACACUCCAGAUUGGCAAUAGAGGCAGCAACACCAACUUUUAUCCAGACACAGAAAUGGGCCAUAAAUGGGUCAUACAUUUCAUCCGAUUUGUUCGUUUACUCCUGAAUGAUGGAGGUAUAUCAAAUGAUUCAGAAAAUAAAGUGCAAUAUCCUCAGCAGGAGAUACUCUCAUCUCCCUCCUUCAGGGUGGAUUUAAUUUGCCUGUGAUUUUAGAACUCUGUGAGUUAGGUCUUUCAUGUCCAUUAAUGAUUAGGUUUAUAUUUCAUUUUAUAUAACUUAGGAGGGAAUAGGUAAAACACUGGGACAAAAUGGGCUCUUCGAAUGAUGAAAGAAAAGCAUCGAGGAACAUUUCUCUUUUGCCAAUUAAGAGCAGUCAUUGGAAAUUGGAAUGGAUUUAAAGCAGUACAUAUUAUCAUGGAAGCCUUGUUUUCCUUCCAGUGUUCAUGCUUCUGCACUGAUCUCCUGCAUCCACACUCCCUCGGAUAUUUCACGAAGCAACAAGGGUCCAAGACUGCAAAAUACUCCUGCCCUAGUUGCAUUAUAAUUCAUAUUACAUAAUAGGAAACACACCUAAUCCCCCUCACUCUAAUCCUUCCUGUUUAGGGCAAUCUAAACUCCUCCUCCAGAAAGAUUAACCAAUUUUAAAAUUAUUUGCUAAACAGAAAUGAAAUGCAUGAUGUAAAAGAAGGUAAAAUACCACUUAAAUAAGGUAACACAAUUUAGUGUUCUUGUUGCCGUGAGUAAAUCUAGAGUGGUUAUUGAUCCGGAAUAUUUCUAUAUUUUUAAGACUGUACUUUCUACUUUUUAAAAAAUAGUUCAGUUUAAUGACCUUUGCCAAUCUGUCUGCUAUGAAAGCGUGUGCUCAGCAUUUUUGCAAUAAAACAAUGCAAGCUUCACAAUUGGAGAACUUGGGCACAGCAGUGUCAUGUGGGCCCCUUGACAAUCACAACUUUCAUUUGAUAGUCUGAAAUUAAAGCUUCUCAGAAUAAUUUAGGAAGAGCUUGACCCUUUGAGAUGCUCAAAGACAACCCUCCAGAGAAACAUUUUAAGUUUCCUUCCUGGGAACAAGAUACUAGCUCAGUGCACCAGAAGGUAGAUGGCGUCAACAAUGCCAGCACGCCCUCUGCUGCCCAAAAGCUGCAGGACAUCAGUUACAAAAGCUAGAUGACACUGAAUCGCAACAAAUAGUGACAACAUUAAGCUCCUAGAAACAUUUAAUCUGUGAAAUUUUAAAACUCUCGUCGUAUCGUACUUUUUGAGAAGGCCGCCUGAUUUUAAUUUUGACCGAAGCUCCUUGGAUAAUUUCUAUUCUGGACAGUAGUGAAAAGUCAAUGCUUUAGUUUUAAAUCUGUCAUGUUAUUUCUUUUAUUACAUUUUUGUACCUUUCGUCUCUUAAAUUUUACAUAGAAAUAAAUUACAAAUUGGAGUGAAAAACCUUGUGUUCAAUAGGUGAGUAGAGAAGACUUUUCCUAGUUUCUCCAGAUAACUAAGAUCUCAUAAAGGAAAAAAGUAAGACAGAGAUAACAAAUAGAGGUUGCUUAAUUUUUUUUAAAUUAAGGUUUGAGGUAAAGUAUUGUUUUCUUGCUUUGAUAAUUAACCCAGAUUUUUCUCAGACAUUAAGUGUGGGACUAAAAAAAUGAGGUAUGUUUGAGGAAGAAGUUGAAAAAUUUGCUUCACGCUAAUAUAUACACUCUUUUUACCCUUGAAAUCUUUGUGAUGAAUUUAUUAUAUCCAUACUUAGUCUGCAAAGACUUCUUUAGAGAAGAACCCACUCGAAGUUGAAGUGAUCUGAUAUGGAUGCAGCAUAUAGAUAAACUCAUAACAAAUGUUAUUUGCAUUAAAAAUGAGUUUUUCAGUAUGGAACAAACUCUUCUUAAAUGAAAUGGAGAUUUUUUUAAAUAAGGUUAAGAACCUUUUUAAAGUUUUAUGUUAUAGGAUUUAUACUGAUUAAAAUAAAUGUAUAGCUGUAUUAAUUAAAUGUAAAUUUCAAAAUUAUAGCUUUUUUCUAACCACACACAUCUUUGCCAUGAAGACUAUUGUUGACUAUAUCAAUGCUAAUGUAAUAAAAUGCUUCUAUUAAU